rnacentral:rRNA from 1 species
ACGAACGCUGGCGGCGCGCCUAACACAUGCCAGUCGAACGGAGCUGAGAGAAGCUUGCUUUUCUUAGCUUAGUGGCGAACGGGUGAGUAACGCGUGAGUAACCUGCCCUGGAGUGGGGGACAACAGUUGGAAACGACUGCUAAUACCGCAUAAGCCCACGAUCCGGCAUCGGAUUGAGGGAAAAGGAUUUAUUCGCUUCAGGAUGGACUCGCGUCCAAUUAGCUAGUUGGUGAGGUAACGGCCCACCAAGGCGACGAUUGGUAGCCGGACUGAGAGGUUGAACGGCCACAUUGGGACUGAGACACGGCCCAGACUCCUACGGGAGGCAGCAGUGGGGGAUAUUGCACAAUGGGGGAAACCCUGAUGCAGCGACGCCGCGUGGAGGAAGAAGGUUUUCGGAUUGUAAACUCCUGUCGUUAGGGACGAUAAUGACGGUACCUAACAAGAAAGCACCGGCUAACUACGUG